AAGCAUCUUCGGAUGUGUAUAAAGUGGCGAACGGCUGAGUAACACGUGGGCAACCUGCCCUUUGCACUGGGAUAGCCUCGGGAAACCGAGGUUAAUACCGGAUACUCCAUAUUUGUCGCAUGGCGAAUAUGGGAAAGCUCCGGCGGCAAAGGAUGGGCCCGCGGCCUGUUAGCUAGUUGGUGGGGUAGUGGCCUACCAAGGCAAUGAUGGGUAGCCGGGUUGAGAGACCGACCGGCCAGAUUGGGACUGAGACACGGCCCAGACUCCUACGGGAGGCAGCAGUGGGGAAUCUUGCACAAUGGGCGAAAGCCUGAUGCAGCGACGCCGCGUGCGGGACGAAGGCCUUCGGGUUGUAAACUCCUGUCGAGGGGGAAGAAGCCGAAAGGUUGACUGAACC
rnacentral:rRNA from 1 species